AAAGCCUCAGGUUUCUGGAGGAAGGUUCGUCCGCUCCAGGUUAGUCGGGAGCUAAGGUGAGGCCUAACGGCGUAGCCGAUGCACAGACGGUAGAGAUUCCGUCACCACCAAAAGAGUUAAACACAGGGACACAUUUGAAGUCUCGGAGCCGGGUGUUGGUUCCGGUAGCGAUCGAGGGAAAUUAGUACCGAAGUCCGGGAUGGAAGAUGGCGAGAAAAGCUGUGUGUAUUUCUGCGGUGCCCGUACCGCAAACCGACACAGGUAGGUAGGAAGAAGAUUCUAAGGCCAACGGGAGAAGGGUUGUUAAGGAACUCGGCAAAUUGACCCCGUAACUUCGGGAGAAGGGGUGCUCCAGAGAUGGAGCCGCAGAGAAUCGGCCCAAGCAACUGUUUACCAAAAACACAGGUUUGUGCUAAAUCGAAAGAUGACGUAUACGAGCUGACGCCUGCCCGGUGCUGGAAGGUUAAGAGGAGAUGUGCAAGCAUUGAAUCGAAGCCCCAGUGAACGGCGGCCGUAACUAUAACGGUCCUAAGGUAGCGAAAUUCCUUGUCAGGUAAGUUCUGGCCCGCAUGAAAGGCGUAAUGAUUUGGGCACUGUCUCGACAGCCCGCCCGGCGAAAUUGUAGUACCGGUGAAGAUGCCGGUUACCCGCGACAAGACGGAAAGACCCCAUGGAGCUUUACUGUAGCCUAAUAUUGGGUUUCGAUGUUGCAUGCACAGGAUAGAUGGGACACUAGGAAGCAAGUGCUUUGGCAUUUGUGGAGUGGCCGUUGGGAUACCAUCCUUGCGAUAUUGGAAUUCUAACCUGCGCCUUUGAAUCAAGGCGGGGGACAUUGUUAGGUGGGCAGUUUGACUGGGGCGGUCGCCUCCUAAAGAGUAACGGAGGCGUUCAAAGGUUCGCUCAGCUUGAACGGAAAUCAAGCAAAAGAGUGCAAACGCAGAAGCGAGCCUAACUGCGAGACUGACGGGUCGAGCAGUAACGAAAGUUGGAGUUAGUGAUCCGGUGGUAUGUGAGUGGAAAUGCCAUCGCUCAACGGAUAAAAGUUACCCUGGGGAUAACAGGCUGAUCUCCCCCAAGAGUCCACAUCGACGGGGAGGUUUGGCACCUGGAUGUCGGCUCAUCGCAUCCUGGGGCUGUAUUCGGUCCCAAGGGUUUGGCUGUUCGCCAAUUAAAGCGGUACGCGAGCUGGGUUCAGAACGUCGUGAGACAGUUCGGUCCCUAUCUGUCGUGGGCGCAGGAUAUUUGAUGGGAGCUGUUCCUAGUACGAGAGGACCGGAGCGGACGUACCUCUGGCGCACCAGUUGUUCUGCCAAGGGCAUAGCUGGGCAACUAUGUACGGAUCGGAUAAACGCUGAAAGCAUCUAAGCGUGAAGCCGACCCAAAGAUAAGAUAUCCCAUUGUUUUAAACAAGUAAGACCCCUUGAAGACUACAAGGUUGAUAGGCUUGAUGUGUAAGUGGAGUGAUCCAUUCAGCAAGCAUGUACUAAUAGGUCGAGGGCUUGAUC
rnacentral:rRNA from 1 species